UUUCGCAAUGCCCGAAAGGGUGACGAAGCGACGCCGCGUGCGGGAAGAAGGCCUUCGGGUUGUAAACCGCUGUCGGGAGUUAAGAAAUGUAAGGAUGUUAAUAGCAUCUUUGCUUGACUAAGGCUCCGGAGGAAGCCACGGCUAACUCUGUGCCAGCAGCCGCGGUAAUACAGAGGCGGCAAGCGUUGUUCGGAAUUAUUGGGCGUAAAGAGCACGUAGGCGGCUAUGUAAGUCGGUUGUGAAUGCCUUCCGCUCAACGGGAGAACAGCAUCCGAUACUGCAUGGCUUGAGUGCGGGAGGGGAGAGUGGAACUUCUGGUGGAGCGGUGAAAUGCGUAGAUAUCAGAAGGAACGCCGGCGGCGAAAGCGGCUCUCUGGCCCAUAACUGACGCUGAGUGUGCGAAAGCUAGGGGAGCAAACGGGAUUAGAUACCCCGGUAGUCCUAGCCGUAAACGAUGGGCACUAAGUAGAGGGGUUUU
rnacentral:rRNA from 1 species